rnacentral:sRNA from 1 species
AUCGGCCAACGGCAAGGGUGGGUGCGCCCGCGUAUGCUGCGCCGAGGGAGAUUGCGCCACACCAACAGCGUCUUCGACGGAAAGGUGAAACAUCAAGAUUACUGGGUAGAGGCUGGUAGGUUCCUUUUGGUUCUCGACUGUCUUGGA